rnacentral:tRNA from 1 species
UGCCCCAUGGCUUAGUUGGUAAUAGCGUCCGACUGUUAAAUGACAUCGGAAGGUCGUGAGUUCGAGCCUCACUGGGGCAG